rnacentral:rRNA from 1 species
AUUGAACGCUGGCGGCAGGCCUAACACAUGCAAGUCGAGCGCGCGGCGGACGGGUGAGUAAUGUCUGGGAAACUGUCUGAUGGAGGGGGAUAACUACUGGAAACGGUAGCUCAUAUAGCACACGCUCAGCUGUGCCCAGAGGGGGUUAGCUAGUAGGUGGGGUAAUGGCUCACCUAGGCGACGAUCCCUAGCGGGUCUGAGAGGAUGACCAUCCACACUGGAACUGAGACACGGUCCAGACUCCUACGGGAGGCAGCAGUGGGGAAUAUUGCACAAUGGGCGCAAGCCUGAUGCAGCCAUGCCGCGUGUGUGAAGAAGGCCUUCGGGUUGUAAAGCACUUUCAGCGGGGAGGCGUUACCCGCAGAAGAAGCACCGGCUAACUCCGUGCCAGCAGCCGCGGUAAUAC